CGGGCAAUUUUUACAGGGUGCACAAUGUACACAGCUGCUUCGAGCCUUUUCGCGAGAUUUUAAUGCGGAUAUAAGAUUUUUCGGCAUCACUCUGGCUUGAAGGCUUAAUAAGCACAGCAACUUCGCUUGUAUUAGAUCAAAUCAAUCUGUAAAAUCAAGGAAGCCUUCAAGUUCCGUCUCCGGAAUUUCCGACAUCACGACACUAGAUGUCUGUUUGGUGCCAGAGGGUGUAAUCAGCAGGUGUAAUCAGCAGGUGUCGCUCAUGACCAUAAACCCUCCACCCUCCCUCCCCUGGAGAUUCAUUUAAAAGCGUUCGUUUUGAUAAAUAAAGCAUUUAAUGG